rnacentral:rRNA from 1 species
GACGAACGCUGGCGGCGUGCCUAAUACAUGCAAGUUGAGCGCUGAAGGUUGGUACUUGUACCAACUGGAUGAGCAGCGAACGGGUGAGUAACGCGUGGGGAAUCUGCCUUUGAGCGGGGGACAACAUUUGGAAACGAAUGCUAAUACCUCAUAAAAACUUUAAACACAAGUUUUAAGUUUGAAAGAUGCAAUUGCAUCACUCAAGAUGAUCCCGCGUUGUAUUAGCUAGUUGGUGAGGUAAAGGCUCACCAAGGCGAUGAUACAUAGCCGACCUGAGAGGGUGAUCGGCCACAUUGGGACUGAGACACGGCCCAAACUCCUACGGGAGGCAGCAGUAGGGAAUCUUCGGCAAUGGACGAAAGUCUGACCGAGCAACGCCGCGUGAGUGAAGAAGGUUUUCGGAUCGUAAAACUCUGUUGGUAGAGAAGAACGUUGGUGAGAGUGGAAAGCUCAUCAAGUGACGGUAACUACCCAGAAAGGGACGGCUAACUACGUG